rnacentral:rRNA from 1 species
GACGACGCUGGCGGCGUGCUUAAUACAUGCAAGUCGAGCGAGGUUACUGUUUCGGAUCCCUUCGGGGUGAAGAAGCUUUAACCUAGCGGCGGACGGGUGAGUAACGCGUGGGUAACCUACCCCAAAGUCCGGGAUAACAGCGGGAAACCGCUGCUAAUACCGGAUGCCUUUACCUUGGGGCAUCUUGAGGUAAAGAAAGGUAACGCUUUGGGAUGGGCCCGCGUCCCAUUAGCUAGUUGGUGAGGUAACGGCUCACCAAGGCGACGAUGGGUAGCCGGCCUGAGAGGGUGGACGGCCACACUGGGACUGAGACACGGCCCAGACUCCUACGGGAGGCAGCAGUAGGGAAUAUUGCGCAAUGGACGGAAGUCUGACGCAGCGACGCCGCGUGAGCGAUGAAGGUCUUCGGAUCGUAAAGCUCUGUCCUUGGGGAAGAAGGCGAAAGCUUGACGGUACCCAAGAAGAAAGCCCCGGCUAACUACGUG